GUGGCAAUGAUAUUCACUUGCCCCGGGCAAGUGUUAAAUUACAACUCUGUUACUUAUUGAAAGCAUAAUGAUAUAACUUGGCAUCCUUAACCAAUUAACCACCAUCACUCUCCCACUCACAAAUAAAAUUGUCUGGCAUUAGACAGGAAUACAAUAAAGGGUGCGAUGCAACUUCAUGGGUUAAAAUUUGACAUUUUGACUGUGGGACCAUGAUUUCUGGGACUCAAAUUGACCAUAAUGACUCAAAUUUUCCCACGAAAAGAAAUAAGUAAUUUAUUUGUAAUCAUUCUAUCAUGUAGGAUACAGUUUACAACAUGAGAAAGAAUUUUUGCAGCAAAAUCCAUUAGAUGGGUAUAAAAUGUAAGGCAAUGGUGUUGGUAUUUGUGAUUUAUGCUAUUGCCUCAUUCCAGAAAACAUUCAUAUGGUUAUGAUUUAACCUCAGUUGUAUUGGAGAUAAGUGC